GAUUAACGCUGGCGGUAUGUCUAAUACAUGCAAGUCGAGCGUCCACUUCGGUGGAAGCGGCGAACGGGUGAGUAACACGUUGGAACCUGCCUUGAACUCAGGGAUAACAUCUAGAAAUAGGUGCUAAUACCGGAUAGUCCCGCAAGGGUAAAGAUGUUUCGGUUCAAGAGGGUCCUGCGGCCUAUCAGCUUGUUGGUAAGGUAAAAGCUUACCAAGGCUAUGACGGGUAGCUGGUCUGAGAGGAUGAUCAGCCACAAUGGGACUGAGACACGGCCCAU
rnacentral:rRNA from 1 species